rnacentral:lncRNA from 1 species
GCGGAAUGAGAAGUAGCAAUUUGGAGGCAGCGAGAAACCCAUCCCUUAUCGAACCCUCCUCCGACCUUCGAUGCCCCUCCUAACGGAAGCCUGGAAGCUGCUGUCACAGGACUCCUCUCUAGCAUUCACCAGCACUGACCACAAAGCCCCAGAUCCACUCUUUCUGGAAGUCACAAUUCAUCAAACAUUUCUUGAGCCACUCCAUUAUGCAAGACCCUAGGCUGGGUUCUAGGAAGACAGAUUGAAGAAGGAUAGGGGAGAAACGUGGCCCCUGCACUCACAGAGCUUAUAGUCUGAAUUGGGUCUUGGAACAGAAGUUUCACACUGGAUCAAUGAUAGGAGACAAUUCGACAUCAAUUAUAUAUGUGCCACUCCUGAUGUCUGGAAGACCCACCUCUUGAUCAGAGCGAGGUCAGAGUCCUUCAGUUGGAGAAGCUUUGAAAGGAACAUCCUAAGAAGCAUAAAAGUGAAUCACGAGAGGAAGAGAAGUCUUUAUUUCUGGGAACUGGGAGUGAGAAGGAUGUUUGAACAGAGCUCCUGGGCUUGGAGGAGACUUGUGAAGGGAAAGCUGGCAACCUCUGCCUGGUGCCUUUUCCUUCUCUGCCUGCUUUUUGUUAUUUAAUAAAUAAUUAAAAAUUAAGCUACAGUCUCCAG